GCCGCAAGCUUGCAGCAAACAAUUGCUGCAAGCUUGCGGCAAACAUAAUUUGUAUAAUGAUGUUUGCAGCAAGCUUGCCGCAAACCUUAUUUGCAUGGUAUAAUGGUUGCGGCAAGUUUUCAGCAAACGUUUGCUGCAAGCUUGCGGC
rnacentral:sRNA from 1 species